CCAGAGAAGACCAGUUCUCAAGAACAUGGCACUCAUCCAGGAGCCUGUCCCAAGGCUCUGCUCCUCCAUGCCCCUUUCAGGACCAGUCUCAGGGAGAAGUCAAAAAGAGCAGCUGAUCAAGAGUUAGCCCAACAGACCUCAGGUGCCGAGGGGAGCAGCUGCAGCCGUCCCUGCGUCCAGAUGAGAGAGAGCCAGGGGUAAAUUGCCGGGUAGGCAGACUAUUUGGCCUCUUUUACUUCAAUAGUGAGAGGCAGCCAUCUCCUCCUCCAAAUCACAGCAAUGGAAGAACCCAGCAACACCAAAGAUGGCUCCUCUGCUGUAGGCUGGAGCUGGGCCCGUUAACUAUCAAGGUUUUCCUUUUGCUUUCAUCUGGAAGAUCUGGAAGGCACAUAUGUUUUUUUUUUUCCUUUCCAAUUUUUAUUUUAGGUUCGGGGGUACAUGGGCAGGUUUGUUAUGUGGGUAAAUUGUGUGUUGCAGGGGCUUGGUGUACGGACUAUUUCAUCACCCAGGUAAGCAGCACGGUAUGGGAUCCUCAUCUUCAUCCCACCCCCACCCUCAGGUAGGCCCCAGGGUCUACUGUCUCCUCCGUGUGUCCAUGUGUACUCAGUGUUUGCCUUCCAGUUAUAAGUGAGAACACGCGGUGUUUCGUUUUCUCUUCUCGCAUUAGUUCACUUAGAAUAAUGACCUCCAGCUUCACCCACGUGUCUACAAAAGACAUGGCUUCAUUCUUUAUUAUGGCUGUGUAGUAUUCCAUGGUGUAUAUGGACCACAUUUUCCUUAUCCAAUUUACCACUGAUGGGCAUUUAGGUUCCUUUCAUGUGUUUGCUAUUGCCACAUAUGCUUUAAUAUUGACUCUCUCUUUACAUAUUUAUGUAAUGUAUGUAUAAAAUAUAGUAAAAUCUCAUUUUAUAUAACUCUCUUAAUGGAAAUGCAAUUUUUACAAAAUAAAUUCUUAUUUCCAUUUUUCCAAAAUAAACUAUUUUACAUAUCUCAACAUAAAAUUAUCAUAUGGUAGUACUUGUUAUUACACCUUCUCUUUGGAAUUUUCAAGAUAAUUUUUGCAUUACUAUUAAAAACAUCCUGCAUGAUAUCUUCUGGGCUUCCACUAAGAAUUUGGAAGUAAUUAUCUUCAUCUACCUGAAGU
rnacentral:lncRNA from 10 species